rnacentral:rRNA from 1 species
GACGAACGCUGGCGGCGUGCUUAACACAUGCAAGUCGAACGGAAAGGCCCUGCUUUUGUGGGGUGCUCGAGUGGCGAACGGGUGAGUAACACGUGAGUAACCUGCCCUUGACUUUGGGAUAACUUCAGGAAACUGGGGCCAAUACCGGAUAGGAGCUCCUGCUGCAUGGUGGGGGUUGGAAAGUUUCGGCGGUUGGGGAUGGACUCGCGGCUUAUCAGCUUGUUGGUGGGGUAGUGGCUUACCAAGGCUUUGACGGGUAGCCGGCCUGAGAGGGUGACCGGCCACAUUGGGACUGAGAUACGGCCCAGACUCCUACGGGAGGCAGCAGUGGGGAAUAUUGCACAAUGGGCGGAAGCCUGAUGCAGCAACGCCGCGUGCGGGAUGACGGCCUUCGGGUUGUAAACCGCUUUCGCCUGUGACGAAGCGUGAGUGACGGUAAUGGGUAAAGAAGCACCGGCUAACUACGUGCCAGCAGCCGCGGUGAUACGUAGGGUGCGAGCGUUGUCCGGAUUUAUUGGGCGUAAAGGGCUCGUAGGUGGUUGAUCGCGUCGGAAGUGUAAUCUUGGGGCUUAACCCUGAGCGUGCUUUCGAUACGGGUUGACUUGAGGAAGGUAGGGGGAGAAUGGAAUUCCUGGUGGAGCGGUGGAAUGCGCAGAUAUCAGGAGGAACACCAGUGGCGAAGGCGGUUCUCUGGGCCUUUCCUGACGCUGAGGAGCGAAAGCGUGGGGAGCGAACAGGCUUAGAUACCCUGGUAGUCCACGCUGUAAACGGUGGGUACUAGGUGUGGGGUCCAUUCCACGGGUUCCGUGCCGUAGCUAACGCUUUAAGUACCCCGCCUGGGGAGUACGGCCGCAAGGCUAAAACUCAAAGGAAUUGACGGGGCCCCGCACAAGCGGCGGAGCAUGCGGAUUAAUUCGAUGCAACGCGUAGAACCUUACCUGGGUUUGACAUGGAUCGGGAGUGCUCAGAGAUGGGUGUGCCUCUUUUGGGGUCGGUUCACAGGUGGUGCAUGGCUGUCGUCAGCUCGUGUCGUGAGAUGUUGGGUUAAGUCCCGCAACGAGCGCAACCCUUGUUCACUGUUGCCAGCACGUUAUGGUGGGGACUCAGUGGAGACCGCCGGGGUCAACUCGGAGGAAGGUGGGGAUGACGUCAAGUCAUCAUGCCCCUUAUGUCCAGGGCUUCACGCAUGCUACAAUGGCUGGUACAGAGAGUGGCGAGCCUGUGAGGGUGAGCGAAUCUCGGAAAGCCGGUCUCAGUUCGGAUUGGGGUCUGCAACUCGACCUCAUGAAGUCGGAGUCGCUAGUAAUCGCAGAUCAGCAACGCUGCGGUGAAUACGUUCCCGGGGCU